rnacentral:lncRNA from 1 species
GAACAGCAAGAUCAGAGGCUGAAUUCUCCAACCCAGAUGAAUCUUUCCUUUCCCUUCUUUCUUUUUUCCCAAAGUUCUGCAACACAACAGAGACAAGAAGCAAAAGUUAAAAUAACCUGCAACACCUGCAUAACACUGAACAACACAAACUCAAAACAGUGUCCUCUUUCCCGUUCAAACCACUGCCUUUAACAAAGAAAAAAUUGAAGUCAACUUCUUCCCUUUUUCCAUCAAACACAAACCCUAAUUUUUGGGUAUAUAUAACAGCAACCCAAAACUCAGAAGGGAGGAGAAAUUCAGAGAAGAAAAAAGCCAAAAAACACAUUUUUCAUCACUUUUUUUCAUUCUUCGAAAUCACACCAAACACCUUCUAAACUCCAAUUUUCUUUCACUAAUCCCUUCUAAAACAUACCAGUAGCGAAACACACAAGGAAAAAACGAAGGAAAACCGUUGAGAGAAGCUUACUCAAACUCCAAAAUUGCAAAGAAAAGAGUGAGUUCCAACUCAUCUAAGCAAGC